UACGUAGGGUGCGAGCGUUGCCCGGAUUUAUUGGGCGUAAAGGGCGGCGCAGGCGGCGUACGCGCGUCCCGUUGUGAAAUCGCUCGGCUCAACUGGGCGGGGUCAGCGGAUACGGCGUAGCUGGAGCAAGCUAGGGGGCAAUGGAAUUCCCGGUGUAGUGGUGGAAUGCGUAGAUAUCGGGAGGAACACCAGUGGCGAAGGCGGUUGCCUGGAGCUUUGCUGACGCUGAGGCGCGAAAGCGUGGGGAGCGAUCCGG
rnacentral:rRNA from 1 species